AUGAUUCAGGCCUUUGGACCGCACGCCAAUUCACGUUCAUGCCAAUCUCGUCUCGUUGUUCAUCGAGCGAAACUGUUCCGCCGGGAAUUGAAGGCAAACAAUUACUCUUCAGUUUCCCUUCAGGCAUUCAUGUUGGAUGAUGUCUUUCUCUCGCCUACGUUGAUUAAUGGAUGUCUGCCUCUUUGUUUUCCCAUCCUUCAGCUGUCGUGUAUAUAUGCUUCUUCCCUAACCUUUUUCAAUCCAGCGACAAAACAUCCAUCAACAUGGUGCUCUGCUAGGUGUUGUUCAUACUGGCUUAUGCUCAAUUGA
rnacentral:rRNA from 1 species